CUCCACAUGGCGAAAGUGGUAUCCCACAGAGGCCUGAAUUGUUGGCAAAACUAGAAGCUUGGAAUGUUUCAAACUGACCAGAUUCUGGAAUCGUUCCAGUGAGAUCAUUGUUGGACAUAUCAAUCUCCGUUAGCAAUGAGAGCUUAGUCAUAGACUGUGGAAUCUGCCCUUCCAGCUUAUUGUUAGAGAGGUUCAGAAUGUUAAGACCGUCUAAACUCCCUAGCUCGUCUGGAAUGUUACCAGAGAAAUUAUUGUGACCCAAAUUCAAGACAUAAAGAUAGGACAUAGUCCCAAUCUCCUUUGGAAUGCUGCCAGACAACAUAUUGUAUGAAAGAUCAAGAAAGAUCAUCGAACCAUUAUCAUUGAAUGUAGGCUGUGUAUGACCUCCAUAUACUCUAGUGAAGUUACAGGGGUGCCUAGUGGAAAUUCUAUCCAACUGUUCUGACCUGAUUCCAGCAAACUCGAGCAAAUUACCUUCGCCAUGGCACCAUUCACUCUUCAUAUUCUUAAGAUACACAUAUCUCUUUCCAGUGAUAAAAUUCACAGCAAUGUUGCCAGACUGUUUGAAUAGCUCAGGUGGGAUCGUACCAUUCAAGAAAUUUGUAUUAAGAUCCAACCAAAUCAAGCUACGACAAUCACCAAGCUCUGGUGGGAUUCUGCCAUAAAAUGAGUUGUUGCUUAGUUUAAGGAUAGCAAGACUCGAAAGCUUUCCAAUAGAUGCUGGAAUUUCACCAGUCAACCGAUUGUUAGACAAUGAGAUCCAGUUCAGCUUAGUACAGUUGCUUAUGCCAGAAGGUAUAACUCCGGUCAACUCAUUGAAGUCUAGAAUCAAAGUCUCCAGGGUUUGUAUGUUCAUUAUCUCUGGUGGGAUAUCUCCAUGGAGCUGAUUAAGCCAAAGCUUCAAAUCACGAAGCUUAGACAGCGAACCCAAGCUAGAAGGGAUUGUGCCUGUGAGAUAAUUGAAGCUCAAAUGAAGUGAUGUAAGAUGAGAACAGUUGCUCAAACUAGCAGGAAUAGACCCAGUGAACAAAUUGUUUUGAAGAAACAAUUCUUUCAAGUUGUUACUUGGAUCUUGACACAAACCAGUAGGGAUAGAACCAGAUAGAUUAUUCGAACUCAGAUCUAAAGACUCCAGAUUGGUGAGCUUUGACAAAGAAUUAGGCAAACCACCAAUCAACUUAUUAAAUGAAAAAUCAAGACUCUUCAAACUAGUCAGUUUCAAAAGAGUUUCAAUUGGCAAUUCACCAGUGAAGUUGUUCGAAGAUAUAUCAAAAGAUUCCAAUGAAGUACAAGCAGCAAAACUACUAGGGAUAAAACCAGUAAGAUUAUUUGAAGAAAGAUCAAGCUCAACAAGACCUGGACAAGCUUCAAUGAGAUGCAGAGGAAUCUGUCCAGAGAAAUGGUUGCCACCAAAAUAAAGAAACUGCAAAUUCCCAGCUGGAACCGUUGGAAUUGAACCUGAAAACUGAUUAGUAGACGCAUUCAAGAAGUUGAGCUUAGUACAACCAUUAAUUGCACUAGCAAGAUCACCAGAAAACUCAUUUGAAGAAAUAUCAAGAUGCUCCAAAGCCAAACAAUCACCAAAUGAAGGAACAACCAUGGAGAAAUUAUUUGAAGAGACGUCAAGAAACUCUAGAGACUUGCAAUUAGAAAAAUCCAAAUCUCCCCUAACUUUAUUUCCCCUCAAGGAAAGGUACCGCAACUCAUUGCAGCCACCAGUAAGAAUAAAGGGCACUACAUUAGUGCCUAUAAUCUUAUUAAAAGAAAGAUCAAAAGACUCCAAGUUGGUAAGCUUUAACCCACUAGAUUUCCCUUUUAAAGAAAAAUCAAGUGAGUUAAAAGAAAGAUUCAAAGAUUUCAAGGAUACACAAGAAGCUAAACUAGCUAUAUCAGAGAUAGGACCUGAUAAAGCAUUACAAGAUAGAUCUAAGUUGCUCAAAAAUGAACUGCACUUAGAUCCAGAACGGAAAGAAAUGAGACCAGAAAUAUUUGAUGAUUUUAAAGAAAGAGUCUCAAGCUUGUCAAGAGUGAAAAGAAAUGCAGCCACUGUUUGAAAAUCAGUAUUUAAAGAAAUGAAGGAGAGGUCCACAGAAGAGACUCUGUUUGUUUCUUGGCAUUUAACUCCAUUAAAGGUACACGGAUUUUGGUUAGGAAACCAAUUAGAAAGAAGAGAUGAGUUGGGGAGAGAGUUUUUGAAGUUGAUAAGAUUUUGGGUAUCUCUGUUCGUAGAGAUAAAAGGUGGCGAUAAUGGUGAAGCUUCAAGUUGUAGUUGCAGAGAGAGAAAGGAAAGAGAGAUAAGCAAAAGAGAGAAAUGGGUUUUCAUUUUUUUCCAGAUGGGUGCUCAAAAAGACAGAGAAACGUGGUGUUUUAGUUAGGGUUUGAGAGCUGCCAUUAGAGGAUGAGCUACAAGCUCUGGUUUUAGAGAGAGAAAGUUUGUUUUUUUUUUUAUUUUAUUAGAGAAAGAGAGAAUAAGAGAGUCAAAAGACGGAGUAAGGAAGGUGAGAAGGGUAUUUAUCAAGUGGAGGAGUGGACACAGCUGUUCCUCACAUGCCAUGUGCCUCUCCCUCGCUUCCUCUCUCUCUCUAACUCCAUUAUUUAACACAUUCUUUCUCUCUCUAAACCAAUUGUUUAACAUUAAUUUCUGUCUCUAAUCUCUCAUUUAUUAUCUCCUAAUUAAUCUUUCUCUUGUCUCUCUCUGAGCAUGGUGUUUAGGGUACGUAAACAGUUCUGAGUUCUUUUAUUUUUCUAAUAAACCCACAAGUUUUAAAAUCAGCAAUCUUUUCUCUCUCUUAGUCCCUACUUUUAGUAGUUUCUAAUAAUCUAAUCAUCCAAAGCUUUCCUAUUUUAUUUUUUAUUUACGAAAAUAAAAAUAUUAGCCCCAAUUAUUAAGAGCGACUAUUUAAUAUUUCAAUGAAUUAAAUUUAAAUUUUAAAAAAUAAAAAACUCAAAUUUAUUUUACCAUUUCCAUUUGCACAGCUACUUAUAUGCUUAUUUUACAAAUUAUUUAGUUUUAAUAAAAUUGUGACUUACUAUUCUUCUUUUUUUUUAAUUUCAAAAUAUUGAAAAUAAUUUUGGUCAUUUGUCUUUUUUUUAUUUCAGUUAAAGAUAUUAUUAAACUACUUUGUAUAUUUGAAAAUAAAUGUGAUUUUUUUAAUAAAAUUAAACUUCAAUGAUAUAAUUCUAAUUAAUAAAAUUAAGUGUAAAUAUGGAAAAAUACUUAGAGUUAGCAGAAAUGAAAUAUAUUUAUAAAUAAAUUUUUAUUUAUACAAAAAAAAUUAAAAUUAGGGUAAAUUUACUCUAUUAUUUGAGUAUUUUCUUGUAAAAUUAUUGUUGCGUGCAAAAAUAAACUCAGCAUACUAUUUUAUUGAGAUAAUCAUACUAUUUUUAUUGCUAAACCAUAGCAAAAGUGUUAGUUUUUUAUAACUUCAAAACUGUCUCUUUGUCUCUCUAGCUUUUUAUUUUUUAUUUAUUUUUUUAUUUUUUUAUUUAUAGUAUUUUGAAGUGUACGUGUGAUGAACAAUUUAACCAUCUCCAUCAAGUAUCAACUAAUGGGAAGUGGGAGAUUCCAUCUCCUAAUAAAUUAAUUAAUUAAUUAAUUAAUUAAUCAAGUGGAUUUUUGGCAUUUAUAUAAAAUUACCCAUCUUUCUAUAAGAAGAGCACUCCUUUUUCUUGCAUUGGGAAAGUUGAAGGUGGUAAAAGUUAUUUUAUUAUUAUUAUUAUUAUUAUCAUUAUUAUAAGAAAGGAGUAUAGGAAAAUGCCCCCACACCACCAUGUGUCCAUCACCAAUCUACUAAAAACUCACUCCUCUUAAUUUGUGCAUUUGAUCUUUUUGGCUUUUUUUUUUUUCUUUUAUUUAUUUUUUUUCAUUUAAUAUUCUUUUCAAGUCUUUUAAUUCAAUAAUAAAGUAAUAUUAAUUUUGCUAUUCAUAUUUUAUUUACUUAUUUAUAUGGCUUGAUGAAAUAUAUAUUAUUCACACAAAAGUUAAAAAAUUUAUAGCAAAAAUUGAAUUCUAGCUAACAAAAUAAAGAAUGAAUAAAUAUUAUUUUAUGUCUUGUUUGAUAUAAUAAACUAUGAAUAAAACCCAUUUACAAAUGAUAAACUUCAAUUACUUAUGUUAAAUUUUAGAAAAUUUAGUUUUUUUUUUUAAGUGAAAUAAAUAUUUUUUUUAUUUAUAUUAUUAUAUGUUUAAUAAUAAGUAAUAUUUAUUUAUAUCCUUAUGGGUCCUACCACAAUGUAAUGAUAAUGUUAACUUUAAAUGCAACUAAAUUUGAUCCCACACGUGUGGUUCCAAAAAUUUGCUGCUUUUCCCAUAUAAAGGUUAGUGAAAAUCACUUCAUUGACCCAAUAUGAAGUAUUAUUAUUACAUAACCAUCAUCAUGUUCCUAAAUUUUGUUAAAUAGUGACAAAGUCCAUUAAUUUGUUGGACCAUUUUAUGUAAGAAGUCAAUUUCUUGAUUUAGGUAUUAAACUGUUAGCUUUACUUUUAAUGCUCUAAGAGAUUUUUUUCUCUUUUUUUUUUUUCUUUUUUUUUUUCUUCCAAGAGUUUAUAAUUUCUAUGUCACAUAUUUAUCAUCUUUGUCAAAUUAGUUAGAUAAAGGGAUUUUUGACAAAGUUGUCAAAAUUGAUAAAAAGAGAUUUCGGUGCCAUCAAAUAUUGACUUUGUAAGAGAUUAUAAGUGAUUGUGAUAUAUAAUUUUAAAUUUGAAAAUUCAUUUAUUAUAAUAUUUAAUAUUAUUAUUUUAUAUUAUAAAUACGAGAUUAACUUGUUUGGAAAUUAAUGCGAAUAGGAAUUUUUGCUAAAACGAGAGUAAUUUUUUACUAGAGAAAAAAAUAAAUUAAAAAUAAUUUAAAAAAAAUUUUAUUUCCAUUGAUUUUUUUUUUAUAGGCAAGACUGUGAUCUCGGUUUAGACAUGUAUAAUAUUAUAAACAAAGAAAAAAAUUAUUCACGGUAAAUGACCGGCAAUAAUUUACAUUAAUGAUAGUAUAAGAAUCUUUUCAUGGAGAGAAAAUAAUAAUAAUAACAAUAAUUUACAUUUUUUGUCUAUAUCAAGUGUCUUAUCCAUUGGAUUAAGACUAAUUUUACUUAUAUCAUAUUUUUUUCUCCAUCUAUAACUAUCGAAUUCUCGAUCUCUUUACUUAAAAGAUCUGAAUCUUUUUCAUUCAACCAAUUCUCAUUGGUUAAAUUUUAUGAUUUUCAUUUUUUCUUUUUUAGAACAAUGAUGUUAAUAAUGAUUAAUAACUAUUAAAAAUUACUGUAUGUAUACAGUAUUAGAAAGUAUUUUCCAUAAAUAUAGAUGUAUUUGGUACUUGUCUUUUUCAUCAAUAGUCUUUAUAUAUGUGAACGACUAUACCACAAAUUAUUGGAGUUACAGUUUCUUUGUUUACAUAUUAAUUUAUAACUCAAAAAUACUUUCUUUUGCUAAAAUUUGAAACUGUCUUACCCAAGAUAUAAUUUAUAAUAACAUGUAUUGUGAAGUACGCAAGAGAGUGUUGAAUCAUACUUAAUCAACGGCUUAGUUAUAACAUGAAAAGAAAGAGUUGCAUGCAUUUUUGUUUCUAGAAUUGGGGGAGAGAACCGGAGUUUCUUUUCCACAAUUUUUUUAUUAAUUUAUAUUAUAAACUUGUGUUUACAUAUUGUAUUAAAAUUAUUAUUUAAAUUCAAGUAAUUUUUUUUAAUAAAUUGGUGGCUUUUAUAGAUAAACAUAAUAUUUGGGCUAUACAAUAAGGGAUAGCUCAUCUAAACUUAUUCAAUCCAUUAAAACAAUUAUUGUCGAAAGGAUUCAAUCUCAAGACCUCCCACCACUCGUAUAAAUGAGAAGACCGAUCAGACUAUUGUCUGAUUGGCUCAAGUAAUUCUUUUUUUUGUUUACUGGAAACUAAAUGGUAGAAAUAAUAUUGUAAAUUGUUGAGUAAUUUUCAAUAAUAUUCAGUAGAUUAGUAAAAAUAAUUAUAAUCCCCCUAUUUAAGUUUGAAUAAUUUAAUAAUUUUUAAAAUAAUAAAUAAUAUUUUUAAAUUCCACUUAUUAUCUUAUGAGGAAAUACUAUAGUAGAAAUCGACAUACGAUGGGCGUUAAAUUUUUUGUUCCAUCAAAUUUUAAGAAAAUAUAGAUAUCCUUUUAAUUGAAAUUUGCUUAUUUAAUAUACGAAAAAUUCUUUUAAAAGCUUUAUACUUUUAUUUUUUUCAUUAAUUAAAAAAAAGUAAAUAUGAGUUGACGUCACAGUGGCAAGAUUGUCCUAUUGGCGCUCGUGUAACAAAAAGGCUGCCUCAAAUUCUGAUCACUUUUAAUUCUCUCCUUGCAACUCUACUUAACGGCGCGUACACUUCCCAACUCUCGCUCCACCUGGGGCCCACACUUACCCACAACUGCCAAAACAAACGCUAGCAUUCAACGAAACGCCUUUGAACCCCCCCCCCUCUCCACCUCCACUAACCGACAAACGACAGUAAUCAAAUAAUUAGCGCGUGUAUUACACACUAUAUAUAGUUUGCUGGGAAUUAAUUAUUUUCCUAGUUUUACUUGCCAGUUUUAGUACUGUACUUCAGGCCCCAUGGCCUCCAGCUAAUCAUGACCGUUGAUUCCAUUUUGACGGUCAAGAUUUCACUGGUUAAUUUAAAAGCGUCACUGAUUGUACUUGAGGGACAAAUAAUUCAGCUCUUGUCUUCUAUAAUAUCUAGCAGUAAAUCUAAUACAGUAAUAGUACUCCUUUCUGAAUUUACUUUAUUAUCCUGAUUUUCCAAGAGGAUUUGCCCGUAGAUUUGGGGGUAUUUGUGUAUUAGUACUUCUCAGGUGCUCCUUGAGGAUGACGUGGAAAAUAUAUGUCAUUUCUGUUGUUAAAACGGUUUUAAAUUUCAACUUGUUCGGGGUCAUUUUCGUCAAUAUAUAUUUUUUGUCGCUUGUGGUUAGAAAAUUUUGCAGGAUGAGUUGUCAUUAUGAUUUAUUUUUUCCAAUUUUUUAAUUUUAUUUCAAAUAUUGAUGGUUGGGGUUUGAAAUUAUCUAAUUGGGCCAUUUCUGGUUUUGGCCCAGAAAGUGGCAAGUUUCUUUGUGUUAACUUGUUAAAAUAAUUAUGGUUUAAGGCUUAACUAAGCAUAGUUAACUGAAAAUUUGUCCCCAAGAUUCGUUUACUUGAUAAAAUACAACAGAAGAGGGAUAGAGAAAUGUAAUAACUAAUUUAAAAUCAACAAUUAAAAAAAAAUUAGUGCUUGAUACAAUAAAAAUUAAAAUUGAAACUGAAAGUGUGUGUAUAUAUAUAUAUAUAUAUAUAUAUAUGCACAAUGAUUUUAGAAAGGGAAAAUUAUUAUUUCGUCCCUGAGGUUUUACAUAAUUAUUUAAGUAGUCCUCAACAUUUAUACAUAUAUUUAUAACAACCCUGAGAUUUGCCACCGUCAUAUUAAUUGGUCCUUCCGUCAAAAAAAUACACUUUUUCCGUUAAUUUUGGAAGAAAAGACGAAAUUGUCCUUUGGAAAAAUAAUUAUUUUUUCUCUGAGGUUUGCCAUAAUUAUUAAGUAAUUCCCUAUAUUUAUAUAAAUAUUUAUAACGUCCCUGAGGUUUAUUUCCGUCAUAUUAAUUGGUCCUUCCAUAAAAAAAAUAUACACUUUNNNNNNNNNNNNNNNNNNNNNNNNNNNNNNNNNNNNNNNNNNNNNNNNNNNNNNNNNNNNNNNNNNNNNNNNNNNNNNUAAAAUACCUGAAACUCAAAUUUUCACCAUCUUCCUCAACCCAACACGAUCUUCAUUGCCACCACCGUGUCUCUGUCAAGUAUCAUCUUCAUAACUAGAUCACCAACAAAACUAAAAGGGAAAAUAUUUAUAGCGUUCUUAAAGUUACUUCUGUCAUAUUACUUGGUUCUUCCGUCAAAAAACACACUUUUUGCUGUUAAUUUUUAAUAGAAUGACCAAACUAAUCUAAAUCCUCUAAUCAAGGAGAGAGAGAUAAANNNNNNNNNNNNNNNNNNNNNNNNNNNNNNNNNNNNNNNNNNNNNNNNNNNNNNNNNNUGGUGAUCUGGUUAUGGAGAUGAUAGUUUUCAUUGACAUGAUGGUGGCAAUGAAGACCACGUUGGAUUGAGAAAGAUGGUGAAAAUGUGAGUUUUAGGUAUUUUAGAAGAAAUGGAUUAAUAAUAAUGUCAAUGAAAACUUAUAAAGGAUAAAUUUGUUUUUUCCACUCAAAAUUAACGGAAAAAGUAUAUUUUUUUUAUGGAAGGACCAAUUAAUAUGACGGAAGUAAACCUCGUGGACGUUAUAAAUAUUUAUAUAAAUGUAUGGGACUACUUAAUAAUUAUGGCAAAUCUCAAGGACGAAAUAAUUAUUUUUUCAAAGGAUAAUUUCGUCUUUUCUUCUCAGAAUUAACGGAAAAAGUGUAUUUUUUGACGGGAGGACCAAUUAAUAUGACGGUGGCAAACCUCAAGAAUGUUAUAAAUAUAUGUAUAAAUGUCGAGGACUAUUUAAAUAAUUAUGUAAAAUUUCAGGGACGAAAUAAUAAUUUUCCCUUUUAGAAAUGGAAGACUGGAAAAGUAAUCUGCCAAGUGGGGUAUUUGGAUAUUUGACUCUAUCACGGGAAGCAACGAUUACAGUGAGCAAAAACAUGAGAUUAUAUACAAUACGGUUUAAUCCCUAAUUCCAUUUGAUGAGACUUAGUCAUCAGGUGUCCGAAAAGAAUUUUGAAUGUUGAAUUUAAAUUCAUUAUCUUAUUGAAUUGAUAAUAAUAAGUGACAUCAAAAGUUGAUUGUCGAAUGAUUAAAAAUUGAUAUAUAGUGUUAUUUUAUAAUACUAUUUAAAUGGAUGAGAUACUCACAAAUUUUAACUACUUGAAUUUAAAUUUAUUUAAAAUAUUCCUUUUAUUAGUAAUGGAUAAGAUACCCGUGGAUAUCUAUUAGAGCUAUGCAGUUUCGAUUUUAAUUCAAUUUUCAACAAAAAUCGGAAUCAGAACCAUAAUUCGGUUCUUCUCAGAUUUGAAAUCUGAACCACUAGAAUCGAAACUAAACCACAAUUUGGUUCAAUUUUAGUUCGGUUCUCGAUUCUUUGAUUCUGAUUCCAAUUGCAGUUCUUAGUUAAAGAUGAAUACACUAUUCUCCAUUUUGAUACAUUUCAUUAAAUUAAAAAAUCUAAUAUUAAACUAAAAUGACAAUAUACAAUAAUUGUAAACAAUCAUAUGUAAGAUAAUUAUAAUAAUAGUAUAAAAUUACAAUACAAUACUAAUUCAUGAUUAAUAAUUGCUAAAUAUUAAUAUUUUUUUAAAAUAAUAAUAUGAUAAAAUAUUAUAUUAAAAUUAUUAAUAAUUUAUAUUAUUUUAAAUGAUAAAAUAUUAAAAUCUAUUAAAAUUAAAAUCUUACAUUAAGACAUAAUUUUAAUUUUAGUUAAACUUAAAUAAAAAAAUUACGUAAUUUUGAUUAUUAAAAGUUAAUUAUUAAUUAUAAUUAUUAGUAACUAUACUGUCAUUAAUAAUAUAUAUUCGUUCCGUCCUGAAAAGAUAGUCCAUCUUUCCUUUUUGGUUUGUUUCAAACUAUAGUCCAUUUUCCUUUGUUACAUUCUAGUUAAUUCUUAAAUUUUCUAUUAUAUUCUUAUUAAAUUUUAUCUUAUUUUCAAUAACAUCAAUUCUUACUAAUUAUUCUAAUAUAAUAAUUGCUUAUAUAUUAUCUAGGAUGGGUAUAAUGAGAAAAUUAUAUGAAUAAAAUUGUCCUUGAGCCAUAAUAAUUGCUACUUUCUUAAUCUAUAUGAAAAUAAAAUGUGGGCUAUCUUUACUAGUUAUCGAAAGGUUAAUAAUUAUAAUAUUAGUAAAAUUAUUUAUCAUAAUGAUAUUUAAUAUAAGAACUUUAUAUUAACCUUAAAUGAAAAAAGAUUUCCCACUCAACAUACUCUCUCGAUUACGUAAAUCUUUAUACUCGCUUCCUACACUGGCCAUGUCGCAAGCAAGAUUAUAUUUUUGCUAAAAUAAAAAGUUCGCCAUUAAACUUAUUUAGCGGGAUAAAAAAAAAUUAGAUUUGAUCUUUUAGAUCAAUUUAAUCCCUAAUUUUGUUUUAAAUGAUUAAAAAUGUCAAAUUUGACAUUUAGGAAUAUUAGAUUUAAUUUUGGGUCAUUUUUAAAAGAUCAAAAUUUUUAAUAUUUUGAAUAAAAAUUUAAAAUCUAAAAAACAUCAUUUCUUUUAACACAAUAAAUUUACAAAAUAUAUAAUAUAAAUUUUAAUCUGCUCAACUUAAAAAGUGCAUGUAUUUCAUAAGCAAUAAUCCAGUAAUAAAUGUUAGCUUUAAAAUGUUUAAAUUAGUAUGUAUGUAUAAACUCAAAAUAAUCAAUUAAGCUAAAAAGGACUACAAUAUAUUUUAUGUAUCAUUUUUCUCUAUUUCGUGUUUAAUGAAUUUUUUCAAUAAAUUACACGGUCCAAUCCUAAUUGUAAUUUUAAUAAAUGUUUCAUGUUGUAAGUACCCUGAAAAUCAAUUGUUAAAUUGACCCAAUUAAAUAUGAUAUUUUUAAUCUUUUUAAAUAAAUUAAUUUUUUAUGACGUGUAAUGAAUUUACUCAUUAUAUAUUCGUUUAAUUCUGUUAUUUAUAUAAUAUUAAAGUAUAAAUUUUUAUUUAGAUUAAAAUAAAUACUAUGAUUAAUUAAUAUUGCAUUUUAUAUUGAUAAUGAAAUUUUGUAACAUGUCUUUUACUGUAAUAUCUAAUUGAAAAAAAAAUAAUGUUUCUGUUUCUCCUUUUAAUAAAAAAAUGUAAUUUUAUUGUUAAUUAAUUAUAUAAAAUCACUACAAAUUUGCAUUCACCAUAUUGCAAAAUAUUCUAUAAUUUGGCAAUGCUAUGACAUUAAUUUAAUAAAUCAAGACUUACUUUGCAUAGCCACAAUAUAAGACAUGGCUUUAAUCUUCAUAUCAAUUAUUUUCAUCAAAUGAAAUUAAAAAGGCUGAAAUUUUAUCAAUACCAUAUAAUAUUUUGGAUCAUGUCUUUGUAUGUAGUCCAAAAAUAAAUUGCUUAAAGUUCUCAAUUCCACGUGAAAAUCAAUAUGUGAAGUUGUAAACAACAAUAAUAAUAAUGGAAUGUACUUUUUCAAGUCAUAUAUAAAAAAAUUUUAAAAAAAAUAUUAAAAUUUUAAAGAUCUAAUUAUCUUUAUAUCUAUUUAAAAAAUAUUUAAAAAAUAUAUCCAAUUAAAUCAUAGAAAAAUUAAAUAAAAUUUUAUAAAUUUUAAAAAUAAAAAAUAAAAUAUUGAAUAAAAAUAAAGCUCUUGAAUUUUCUCUUUGUUUCAUUUUUAAUAUAGAAUAGUUGAAAAUAAAAAUGAUAGCAAAACUCAAACAUUUAUAGCCUAUUUUUUUAAAAAGAUUUCAUUAGACUAAAAAAUGAAAACCCUCUUUUUUGAUAUUAGUCAACCAUUGUAAUUUCAUAUUUACAUUGCUUUUUUGUUAAAUUUAAAAAUUUUUAAAAUACAAUAAUAUAUAAAUGAUUCAAAUAAAUGUACAUCAUCCUCUCAAAAAAAUCAAGAGAAAUAAUAUAUUUAAAAUUUUUUAUUUUAAUUUCACUAUAAUUAACUAAUAUAGUCUAAUAAUAAAGCGUUUAAUUAUAUUUAAAAAAUUCAGAACAUAAUAAAUUAAUAGAGUUUAAGUUUUAUUUUCAAUAGUUGAAUUAAGAUUUUCGAUUUACCUCAUAGAAAGCAAUAUAACAUGAGAACGUAUGAUUAAGAACAUAAAAAACUAUUAAUUAUAAAAGUCAUUAGACAAUAAUAUUACAAGAUCAAAUAGAGAAUAUAUAUGCAUAUACAUAUUUUCUAGAAUUAAAAUGCAUAAAAAAUAUAACUAAAAGAAUAUUCAAAAAUAAAAAUAGAAUCUAUUUUUCAAUUAAAAGACAUUAAAAAUACAACUAAAAAGGAUCUUUAAAAGAUAAAUAGAAUUAUUUUUCGAUUAAAAUGCAUAAAAAAUAAUUAAAAUGAUGUAUUAGGAAUUCCAAAUUAAAAUUAAGGCCACUUUAGAAAAUCCCGUAAUUCUCUUCUCUUUUUCCACAUGUAUGUAGAUUAUAAAUUAUAAAUUUAUUUUAUUAUCUAUUAAGUUAAAGAGAGCAAAAUAAUGUAUAUAAUAAAUACAUGAAGUAUGUAAUAUGUAUUUAGCUCUAGCAUUUAUUUUAAAUCCUAAAUUGAAUAAAAUCAAAAACAUAUAUAGUAAAUAAAAAAAUUUUUAAUUUUCAUGUAGCCUUAGUACAUAUUGUUAAAAUAAUUAAAAAUAAAAUAUAUUUAUUAAUGUAUAGUUAAAGUUAAUUAUUUAUUAAACAUAAUAUUUAAAAUAAAAUUUAAUUGGUCAUCAAUAAAGUUAUUUUAAAAUAUUUUAAAUUUCAUUAAGAGUAUUAUUGAGAAUUUCAUUAUUCCCUCCUUAUUUCCAUUUUUAAAUAUAGUAUAGAUUUAUGAUUAAAUUAGCAUACAAGAUCAAAUUUGUUUUUUUUUUAUCCCACUAAAUAUGUUCAAGAACCAAAUUGACUUCCAUCCCUAUUUGUGCGCAACCUUCUAUGGAGAAUGACUUGGCAAGUAUGGCAGCGCAGUAAAUAUUUCUCGACACGUGUUAAAAAGAGAAGGCGAGUAAAGGGAAUUUGUCAUGAGAAAGUAAGAAAUAAAAAAAAGGGAACAAUCUAAAAGAAAAUGUCAUGCAAUGCAGUGACUAGAGAAAGAGGAAUUAUUGUGAUUUAUGGAGUGUGUGUGUCAUAUUCACUCUCUAUCUCAAGGUGAUAUGGGGACCCAUACAUAGUAUCAUUUUCCCUAAGGGCAACGGUGGGUCCUACUUUUACUCUGAUUGAGGUUUUAAUUCAAAACUUGAUGAAAGAAAUCAGAAAUGGGCACUGAAAAAUUUGAAAGAGACAUGGGCUUUGAACUUGGAACCUCAGAUUUCUUUUUCUUUUCUUUUUUUUUUUUUUUUAUGUUAUAUAAUUAUUUACUUUUUUAUUAUCAUUUUAUUUAUUUAUUUAUUUAUUCUUAAAUUACUAUUACCUAUAUUCCGAGGAUCCGAUCGAUUAUUGAACUGAUAAAAUUAAAAAUUUACUGAACUGAAAGAUUUAAUCGAAUUCAAUACAUUUCAAUCAGAUUUUUUUAUAUAUAAUUAAAAAUAUAAAAUUUUUGAAUACUAAAUAAUCUUUAAACAAUAAUAAAAAUGGCUAAACUUAACAUAUUAAACACAAAAUCAAUUAGGACCAUAAUAUAUAAUAUUAUUCACCAUUAAUUCACAAUUCAAAACCAUUAAUCAUGUCUGAUCAACGAGUGUUAAAUUUUUUGUACAAUUUGCCCUUGCUGCAAUUUGUAUAAUCACGUAGUUACCACGUGUAUUUAUUAGAGAUAAUAAUAAAAUUUCACUAGCAAGAAAAGAAAAAAUAAUUAAUUAGUGUAACGAAAAUAAAUUGAAAGACUAUAUAAUUAAUUGAUAAAAAUAUUUGAUAUGACAAAUGGAUUAACUAACAAUUCACUCCAAUUUCUUUUAUUAGAAUAAAUAAUAUUAAUAUUUACAAAAUUGUAAUUUACAAAAUAAAAUAAUUAGUUUCAAACUAGUAUUUCUCAAUACAAAUCUUUUCAGAAUAUUUAUUUUAAUUAAUUGACUCUCAAAUCGUCAUCAUCAUCAUCAAAGGAGGGGGACCUACAAAGCUACAAUCAACACGUGCCAAUGUUGUUAAGCUACGGCUGACGUGGCUCAAUAACUCACAGAAAGUAUGUAAUGUUCACCAUCAAUCGCUUUGACCGCUUUGGUUACCGACAGGUUGUCCAGGCUGUCACUGUUACCAUAGCUAGAUCAUGAGUAUUUUUUUUUACUAUUCCAAUAUUUUUGGAUCGUUUGUUCUUGAAAAAAACUUAACAAUUUACUCGCCGGAAAUACUUUUCAAAAAAAAAUAUAUAAGUAUUUUUAUUGUUGAAUUGUAAUAUUAAAAAUUAAUCAAAAUCUUCAAGAUUAUAAUUUUUAGGAUUAUAAAUUUUUAAAACAAUGAAAAAUUUAUAAUUUUAAAAAACUAUUAAAUAAGAAAAAAUUAUAUAAAAUGAUAAAUUGUGAUACGUUAGUAAUGAUAGUAUGGUGUUCCAGAAAAAAAAAAAGAAUAAUAGUGGUAGCAUGGUAAAUGAUUGGUAACUAGUGGUGGUAGUAACAACUAAUGAUCAAUAGAUUAAUAGAAAUAUAUGCAUAUAAAUUUAUAUAAAUUUAUCAAUAUUUAAAAAUAUUUAUAUUUUUUGAAAAUGUAAAAUUAUUUUCUUUUAAAAUGACUCAAUUAAUUAUUUCCUUUAAAAUGACUAAAUUAUUUCAUUAUCAAUAAAAUAUUUUCCAUUUAUUGAAUUUUCUAGAUAUGUGAACAUCAGAAAUUCGAAAAUAUUUUUUAUAUAAAUUAUUAUCUAGAAACAAAGGAGACCCAUUUUAAGAAAAUUUCGUAAAAUAGAUAAAAAGGGGUAAACUUAUACGAGGUUUUGAGCUAAUUAGCAAUUUAGUUUCUCUAUUUUGAAAUUUGCAUUAAGUUAUCUUUAUGUUAAUUUUUUUUUUGAACAUAUCUUUAUGUUAAUCUUGAGGAAGUAAUGAAAAGAUAAAAAUAUUUUUCAUUCAUCUAAAAAGAAACUCCAUACUCACUUGCCCAAUUUUAAAAAUCAAGAUUCAUUCUUGAAUGUAAAAAUAUUUCGAGAAAUUUCAAUUUUUUUUUUAUUUAGUCAUUUCAUGUUUUUUAUGAAUUCAAGUAUUUAAAGUAGAAGUUCCCAAUAUAGUAAUAAUUUUCAUUUCUAUUAAUUUUUUUUAUUUUUAUUCUUCUUAUUUUUCUCUAUAAUUUUUAAGAACUAAUUAAACUUUUAAAAAAAUGAAUAUAUUGGAAGAGUUGUAAUGUUCUUAAAAAAAAAAAAGUGUUCUAUUCUAUUAUUCUAGAAAAUCAAUCUAAUAGAAAACAUUUACUUUGAGAAAAAUUCAAAUAUUUAACUGCAUAAAAAUAAAGAAAAUUAAAACAAAAUCGAGACUCCUAAAUUGAAAAAAUCAAUUCACAAUUUAAUUAACUCCUAUUCCACAAUCAAUGUGAACUACUUAGAAAAUCAACUACUAAUCAAGCACUAACUACUAAAACUCCUAAUCAGCAACUUGAAAGGAGUUCUCUAAAUCUCUAUGUAAACGACCUCACAUCUUCCAUCAAAAGUAUACUCAAUCAUGCCUAAUUGUCUCUUUUAUCCUUCAUCUCUAAUCAGCAUUGCAAUGUCUGUACGUACCCACCUCGAUAACGUUUCAAGUAUAAGAUUCCUCUAAGAAUUGUUAUUCCAAUCUUCUGUCUAUGGUCAUAUACUUAUAAAUUUGUACCUUACCUGGGUGUUAAUAAUUUGAUGAUUAAAACAAAACAAAUAAAUUUAAAUUAUAUUAUUUGUGCUAAUAAUAUUUUAUGCAGAAUACUUAUGGAAAUAAUCAAACGAACAAGGCAAGUCCUGUAUAAUCCAUAGUGUGUGAAGACAUCCGAAAACCCUAGUGGUUAGGUAUUUAGGAUUCAUUGUAGGAUAGAUAGAAAAUUUAUCUAUAAGCACAAAAACUAAUCUUUCUCUCAUCAAAAAUAUUUUUCGAAACUUAGAUUCUUCAAAAAUAAAUUCCUUCAUCAAAAAGUUGUUUUCGAAAUUGCUUUAAAAGAAAUCGAAAUGAUUCAAUUACCUAAAAGUAAAGAGAUUAUGUCUAACGAUUUUGGUAAUAAAUAAUAUGCUUUCUUUUUCGGAAAUCCUCUUUGAAGAUCUAAAGAAUUUUAAUUUAUUCUCUUACCUAAAACGAAGGAAGAUCUUAUCUUUUCAUUUUAGUAAGUAGUAUCUGUUCGAAAAAUAUUUCUCAAAUAAAUUGCUUUCGAAAAUCUUUAUGUUUAAGGAAAGAUAGUCUCUCAUUGAGUCCUUGGAAAGAAUGAAAGGUGUAAAUGAAAGAAAAUUAGCUACUCUGAAAGUUAAAGGAACACCCUACACUCUUACCUCAAAGAAACCAAAGAAAGUCAAGCACACUGCGGGUAAACAUAAGACUGAUGGAAGAAAGCCCCCAUUGCACCCUUCUUCUAAACGGCUAGAAAGCUCUUUCGAAACCGCUCCUGCUCAAAAUAUAAGAAGUUCUAAGAGACUUAGAACUAAUCCCAAGCCUCUCUGAUUUCUGUGUUAUGAACAUUUUCUUUAGGAUAUAUUGGUCUGUUUAAUUUUCUUUUUAUCAUGCUCUGAUAUUUUCUAACCCUUUUGUAUGAUGACAAAAAGGGGGAGAACGCAGGAUAUUUUGGAUAUUUUGGUGACAUUUUGGUACGUACUCUGUUAUGUGGUGACUAAUCUUAGUGUCUAUUAUUUUCUAAUCUGUGUUGUCUAUUUAUUAUUUUCUAAUCUGUUUUGUCUAUCUACAUGUUCUAUUCUAUUUUGGCGAGCUAUAUUUUUUAUAUGAUGAACUGAGUGUUUUAGAACUUAGAUUCUUAUUCUAACGUCUACUCUACAGGUUCGACUUAAGAUCUUUUGUUCUAUUUCUAAUAUCAGCUUCUAUUCUAUUCUUUUGCUCUGACCAUAUGCUCUGAUUAUUAGAACUUAGAAUAUCUUGUCUAUCUUUGCUAGUUCUAAAAUCAGUUUCUAAAAUGACUCUCUAGUUCUAAAUCUUUCAAAUAGUUUUAUUGCAUCUAUUCAGGAGGAGCAUAAUACAUGUUCUAAAUUCGCUUAAUAUUAAGAUUAUUUUGGCAUGCUUUGAACUUAUAUGCAUAAAAUUUGGGGGGAGCACAUGUUUUAUGUUUGCUGAAUUUAUUGGUUUUGUCAUCAUAAAAAAGGGGGAGAUUGUUGGCUCAUGGGCCAAAUUCUAAUCUCGGAAUUUUGAUGAUUAAAAUAAAACAAAUAAAUUUAAAUUAUAUAAUUUGUGCUAAUAAUAUUUUAUGCAGAAUACUUAUGGAAAGUAUCAAACGAACAAGGCAAGUCCUGCAUAAUCCAUAGUGUGUGAAGACAUCCGAAGACCCUAGUGGUUAGGUAUGUAGGAUUCAUUGUAGGAUAGAGAGAAAAUUCAUCUAUAAGCACAAAAACUAAUCUUUCUCUCAUCAAAAGUAUUUUUCGAAAAUUAGAUUCUUUAAAAAUAAAUUCUUUCGUCAAAAAGUUGUUUUCGAAAUUCCUUUAAAAGAAAUCGAAAUGAUUCAAUUACCUAAAAGUAAAGAGAUUAUGUCUCUAACGAUUUUGGUAAUAAAUCAUAUGCUUUCUUUUUCGGAAAUCCUCUUUGAAUAUCUAAAAAAUUUUAAUUUAUUCUCUUACUUAAAACGAAGGAAGAUCUUAUCUUUUCGUUUUAGUAAGUAGUAUCUUUUCGAAAAAUAUUUCUCAAAUAAAUUGCUUUCGAAAAUUUUUAUGUUUAAGGAAAGAAAGAUCGUCUCUUAUUUUCUUACCAAAAGGAUAAAAUAAAUUUUUGGUAACUAAGAUUUUCGUAUCUUUUAAAUAAGGAAAGCAAAUAUUCUGAUUUCAAAAAGAAAUAUCCACUUUCUAAAAACGAGAAUCACAGAUCUCUUUAUAAAAAAGGAGUUUUCACUAUUUGAAAUAUGUGGAAGAAAGAGUUUUCGUUUUAAGAGUAUUCACUCAUUGAUCACAUCUUUUAUUUCUUAAAACUUACUCUCUACCCUCGUUUUUCUUUUCAUCUUUUGACUUCACGGUUUUUUAUCUUUAAAGAGAAAAGAAUUUUUAUAACUACUUUUGAAAAACGGUUCUGUGUUCUAAACGAUUUUCUAAUCAGAAAAAUUAUUUUUCCUGUGCUUAUAUUUGGAUUUCUAUUUGUCUAUUUAGAUUCUGUAAUCUUUAGUAGACAGGUUUUUAUUUGAUAAACAUUUGUGUAAUAGCUUAGGUGAGAAGCUAUUGUGAAAGAGGUUAUCAAGCGACCUUCUCCGUGAGAGAGAUUCUAAUGUCUUGAAUUGAGUUUCUGUACUCUGCCAAAAACAGAAAGGGUUGAGGUUAACUAGAACCUUUGGAAAUCUAGUGGGAUAAAAGGGUAGAUCUAGGUGUUGAUCUAUUGCCUUGUACUGUUGGUUUGUCUCUUACCCUUGAAAAGAGAUAACAUAGUUGAGGAUCUCAAGAUGAAUCUUGGGGAGUGGAUGUAGGCGAGUUAGUGCCGAACCACUAUAAAUCACUGUGUUGAUUUUUUUUUUCAAAAGUUUUGAUUGAUACUGCUUUACUUACACUUAUGUUUAUAUUUUAGAAAUGCUAAGAUUGUUAAUGGAUUUGAUGUUCUAAAACUGAAAUAAAUCUUAUCUUCUCUGAAUAUUAGAACUCUGGAAUUCUGAUAAGUGAAUAUACCAAGUUCUAAACUGUUCUUCUAUUUACAAUAUAUUUCACUACUUGGGUUUCUAAUCAGUUUUCUAAACCUGGUUAAGGCUCUGUGAAGCAUUCUAAAUUCAAUAACUGUUUCUCACAUAGUCUUAUAUGAUUUUCUAAACUUUAUGAGAAAGUUCUAAAUACAAUAGCUUUUCGUCAUAAAGAAGUUCUAAUAUUGAAUAAGACAUUGUGAAGCAGUUCUAAUUAAUAGCUGCACUUUGCAUAGUCUUUCUAUAGAACAUUGUGAGGAAGUUCUAAUCCAUAAUUUAUUCUCACAAGUUCUCUAUUUUUCUGCUGCACCUAGAAUUCUAUAUUUUGUUUUAAAUUCUAAAAUUUAUAUUUUUUAGAAAACCCAAUUCACCCCCCUCUUGGGUUGUGCCAUACAUAUACGGGACCUAAUAGAUAAUAUAUUGGUUUGUCAAUAAUCCUUGUCCCUAGAUACUGGUUACCAUAGGUUUAAAAUAGUGAUUAACCCUCUUUUAGAGUUAGCUUCGCCACUUUAUACCAUUCAUGGGGAUAAUGGGCAAGAGAUAUUCGGCCAUAUCUCCUAGUAUCUCACCUUUAUCCAACUUCAGUUAUUUGUUUCCUAGGAUCUUGCCGGUUCAGGUGUCUAUUAGAUCAAAUGUCCCCCCCCAGAAGGUACCAUGACAUUUAUGUCGAGUCCAUUACCUCCGAGCUCUUUGCUCGGGUCAUCAAACAACAAUGCUCUUGUGGAUGUGGAUGGUAUUGUUCAGACCCAGGUUCGAUUCCAUUAUGUCUUCUAAGCCUCUUAAUCAUAGACUUAAGACCCAACAGUUAUUCACGGGGUAAUACACAUCUAACUGCUUUGUUGAUGGCGAUUAUUUAAUCUUUUGUAAUAUUGAAAUAGCAACUUUUCAUUUGCUGUGACGAUUUAGCUUCCUGUAACGGUUCGCUUUGCUUGGGAGACUAUAAAGGUGUCACCUAUUUCUCAGGGGUUUUUCUUUAAUACUUUUGUUUCACUUCUUGUGGUUGCUUCCCAUCGUUGCCCAGAUAUUUUGCCUUCUUUUUCUCAGAACUAAAUUCUUGUAUUUCUUUUGCCUGUUUCUCCACAAUGAGUUCUAGUCAGCAAACUAAGGGUAAGGCUCCAGCGGAGUCUCCCAGCCACGAGGAUGAGCCUCUCAACUUGGAGGUAGAUAAUCUUAUCUUGGAGGCCAUAGACACUGACUCUGACUUUGAAGACGAGAUCAAUCUGAUUAGGAGGAGACUUUAGGAGUUUUCUCUUUCAUAUAGGGUCCUAGGGACGUCGUUUGUGCCUCAGUCUAGUAUAGCUCCACCAAUACCUACCUUGCAAGAUGAAACCACCCUAGAGCAGUCUCUUAAGCCUCAGAGGACUAAGGUAAGGCCUCUUGCUCGAAGGGAAGUUGCUGACUUAUCGCGCUCAGGAGGAGAAGCCGCUCACCCUCGAAAAGAGAACGUGCGGGUUAGAGAUCUUAGCACUAUGUUGACCGAGCAUGAUUUGAAAGGGAUUCAUGCUCGCUAUCUGAUCCUGAACGAGUAUCGGAUUGGGAUCCCCCCUUCUGACAUGCGGGCCAAUGCUGAGGUGGACCCGAACACUUAUGUACAUAGAGGAUUGCCGAGUUGGGGAGCAAUUUCCCCUCCAAGGAAUUAUAUAUGCUUUUUGCAAUAAAUGGUGGGUAACCAUUGGUCAGAUUACUCCCAACAGUCUCCGGAUGAUACUGGGAGCCAGCAUUUUAGCUGAUCAAUCGAGCUUCCAAUUGAACGUACGCUAGCUGAAUACUAUGUUCAAUUUUAUCUGGAGGAGAGCCGAGAAUCAUCCUCACCUCAUUGCUCGAACUAAUUACAACUUCUUUCCCCUUAAGAGCUCAUCCACUAAGGGGAGUGGAAAGAGAAGUUUUUUCUUAUUGGUCAUCCAGGAGGGUUUGGGAUACCCUCAAACUGGAGUCAGGGUUCUCCUGAGAUGACGGCUCCUGGAGUUUUUGUUGGCUCAAGGGUCAAAUUCUAAUCUCGGAAUUUUGAUGAUUAAAACAAAACAAAUAAAUUUAAAUUAUAUUAUUUGUGCUAAUAUUAUUUUAUGCAGAAUUCUUAUGGAAAGAAAACGAACAAGGCAAGUCCUACAAAAAUCCAUAAUAUGUGAAGAUAUUCGAAGACCCUAGUGAUUAGGCAGCUAGGAUACAUUGUAGGAUAGAGAGAAUAUUCAUCUAUAAGCACAAAAACUAAUCUUUCUCUCAUCAAAAAUAUUUUUCGAAAAUUAGAUUCUUCAAAAAUAAAUCUUUUCGUCAUAGUUGUUUUCGAAAUUCCUUUAAAAGAAAUCAAAAUGAUUCAAUUAUCUAAAAUUAAAAGAGAUUAUAUCUCUAACGAUUUCGGUAAUAAAUCGUAUGCUUUCUUUUUCGGAAAUUCUCUUUGAAGAUCUAAAGAAAUUUAAUUUAUUCUCUUACCUAAAACAAAGAAAGAUCUUAUUCCUUUCUGUUUUAGUAAGUAAAAUCUUUUUGAAAAAUAUUUUCCAAAUAAAAUGCUUUCNNNNNNNNNNNNNNNNNNNNNNNNNNNNNNNNNNNNNNNNNNNNNNNNNNNNNNNNNNNNNNNNNNNNNNNNNNNNNNNNNNNNNNNNNNNNNNNNNNNNNNNNNNNNNNNNNNNNNNNNNNNNNNNNNNNNNNNNNNNNNNNNNNNNNNNNNNNNNNNNNNNNNNNNNNNNNNNNNNNNNNNNNNNNNNNNNNNNNNNNNNNNNNNNNNNNNNNNNNNNNNNNNNNNNNNNNNNNNNNNNNNNNNNNNNNNNNNNNNNNNNNNNNNNNNNNNNNNNNNNNNNNNNNNNNNNNNNNNNNNNNNNNNNNNNNNNNNNNNNNNNNNNNNNNNNNNNNNNNNNNNNNNNNNNNNNNNNNNNNNNNNNNNNNNNNNNNNNNNNNNNNNNNNNNNNNNNNNNNNNNNNNNNNNNNNNNNNNNNNNNNNNNNNNNNNNNNNNNNNNNNNNNNNNNNNNNNNNNNNNNNNNNNNNNNNNNNNNNNNNNNNNNNNNNNNNNNNNNNNNNNNNNNNNNNNNNNNNNNNNNNNNNNNNNNNNNNNNNNNNNNNNNNNNNNNNNNNNNNNNNNNNNNNNNNNNAAAGGGUAGAUCUAGGUGUUGAUCUAUUGCCUUGUACUGUUGGUUUGUCUCUUACCCUUGAAAAGAGAUAACAUAGUUGAGGAUCUCAAGAUGAGUCUUGGGGAGUGGAUGUAGGCGAGUUAGUGCCGAACCACUAUAAAUCACUGUGUUGAUCUUUUUGAUUUCUGAAGUUUUGCUUGAUACUACUUUACUUACACUUCUGUUUAUAUUUUAGAAAUGCUAAAAGUGUUAAUGGAUUUAAUAUUCUAAAACUGAAAUAAGUCUUAUCUUUUCUGAAUAUUAGAACUCUUGAAUUCUGAUAAGUGAAUAUAUCAAGUUCUAAACUGUUCUUCUAUUUACAGUAUAUUUCACUACUUGGGUUUCUAAUUAGUUUUUCUAAACUUGAUUAAAGCUCUGUGGAGUAGUUCUAAUUUCAAUAAUUGUCUCACACACAGUCUUAUAUGAUUUUCUAAACUUUAUGAGGAAGUUCUAAUUACAAUAGCUUUCCGUCAUAAAGAAGUUUUAAUAUUGAAUAAGACAUUGUGAAGCAGUUCUAAUUUAUAGCUGCACUUUGCAUAGUCUUUCUGUUUUACCAAUAGAAUAUUGUGAGAAAGUUCUAAUUCAUUAUCUAUUCUCACAAGUUCUUUAUUUUUCCGCUGCACUUAGAACUCUAUGUUUUGUUUUGAAAUCUAAAAUAUUUUUUGAAAACCCAAUUCACCCCCCCUUUUGGGUUGUGCUAUACAUAUACGGGACCCACAGUUUUAGAUCCAAUUGAGGCCUGCCAAGUAAAAACCUUGAUGAGGUUUGCCUUCAACCCCUCCCCUGGUUCCUCUUUCGGAUGCUAACAUCCCUCUGGGCCCUUCGUCCGUCCAUCAAAGAAGAAGAAGGGCUCUUGGGGUGAGUCAGGUUUGAGUGUUUUUCUUGUCGUUAGUACUUAUUUGCUUCUUUUAACUUUUUUCUUUCUUGCAGCAAUGGCUCCCAAAUUGUUCAAGGAGAUGAUAGCCCGGUUAGUAGCAGAUCGAGCUUAGCUGCUAGCCACUCGCUCCGGCUAGGAUCUAGGAGGCAAUUCGGAACCCUGCACCAGCCUGAGGCAUUCUGAGGUGGUAGUCACUGUGCCGUUAAAGGGUGUUCUCGAAUUCGAUCCCCUUGCAUCCGAUCCUCCCUAGAAGGAGUCUGGAACUCCUGUUGUUCAAGAUGCAAGUUCGAAAUCAUCUUAGCCCAGAAGAAGGAACAAGAGGUAGCGAGGAGGAGGGGGUGAUGAUGAGCCGCACUCGCCUAUUACCGAGAGGGGGCUUGAACUUUGGAAAGCUAUGAGGAGGAAGUUUUGGAAGGAGGCUUCGGCGAGCAGCGGCCAGGUUGCUCAGACCCUGGCGGCCUAGUGCCUUCUCCCGGUGCACUUGGUGCACCAUGAAGGUUUGCAGGAAGAGUGCUUCCUUGACCAAUUAAUAGUAGGCUCUUAUAGGUGUCUUUCUUUUUAACUUUUUCUUCCCUUUCUGAAUGUUAACCUUACCUUAUGCUUUUGACCAUUUUUAGUUGGUGAGUGCCCACAGUGAUACUCGUCGUCGGGUAAGGGAAUCCCUUGAACUGGUCACUUCCCUGACGAAGGAUUUGAAAGCUGAGAAAGCCAAGGUUUAGAAGCUGGAGAAUUCUAUCCAGACCCAGACUUUGGAGCACAGUCGGUUUGUUGGGGAGCUUGAGGAUAAGGUCAAAGCUUUCUCUAAGGAGAGGGAUGCUCCCCUUGAUUCCUUCCUCAAACUUAAUGCUCGGGUGGAGGAGCUACUUAAGCAGCUGAGGAGGAUGCCGUCACCAUUCGGUAGCUCAGAGUAGAUUUGGCUCGGGUGGAGGAUGCUGCCGCAGUGGCAACUCAUUCUAUAAAUGAUAUGUUGUUGCAUCAAUCUGACCUUAUUAUCGUCGAGAUUCGAGUUAGAUUUCCUGAUAAGGAUUGGGCUUUUAUUAAUCAAAUUGAUCCUAUCCAAAAUCUGGACGAGGAGGAGGAGGAAGGGACCAAGGCAGGUGACCCCAUGGGGUCAUCCAGGAUACUUCUUGGGGGGGGGGGUUGGUGUCCUUCCCACCAAUGAACUUGUUGUGUCCGUCGACCCUGGCAGUGUUGGGGAUAUAACUGUGUCUACUACGGGUGAGGACCAGCCUACUUUAUAAUGGUUCCUAUAAUUCUAACAAUGUAUAGAUGGUUAUGUUUUAUUGAAGUGCCUUUUAUCUAUAUACUUUUCUGAGGUGUGCUAUCUUUACUUCCACUUUUAAUGUGUAGUUGUUAGGAACUCGGCCCUAUUUUUGUACUUAAGCAUUUUUUGCCUUAUGAUUCUCUCUUCGAGCUUUGUAGUUGAUAGGGGCUUGACUCUAUUUGUAUUUAGGCAUUUUUUUUGUCUUAUGAUGCUCUCUUCGAGCUUUUUAUUUUGAUAGGCAACAGCGGCUUAGCCCUAUUUGCAUUUUGGGAUUUUUUACCUUAUGGUGCUCUCCUCGAGCUUUGUAGUUGAUAGCGGUUCAACCCUAUUUGCAUUUAGGUAUUUUUUGCCUUAUGAUGCUCUCCUCGAGCUUUGUAGUUGAUAGGGUUUAGCCCUAUUUGUAUUUACGCAUUUUUUUCCUUAUGAUGCUCUUUUUGAGCUUUGUACUUGGUAGGGGCUCGGCCCUAUUUUUGUGAGCAUCUGGGUAUGUAAAUGUUUUUUUUUUUUUGUAAAAGCUAAGGAAAAAACUUAGCUUUGCAAACCCCUUUUAGUUGUUCUAAGCCUUGAGCCCCUAAGCUUUCCUCCAUACAUCUUGUUCCUACAGGCUUUACAAGGAUAAGUGAAAAAAAAAACCUAGCCUUUAUCUAAUACCUCGAUAUUUGCACAAAACAAUGCUUCAGAUUGUCUGAGUUCCAAGUCUGGGGAAGCUCGAAGCCACCAAAGGGUCUGAUUUUGAAGGUGCUUGGUGACAGCUGUUUUCGCAAGUGUACGAAAUCGCAACAAGUAAUAUAGAGUAAGAAAGUAUCGUAUCCACAGGGAUUGUUUAUCAAUUACCAAAAUUAUGUUAACCUAUUAUUAUUUAGACGAUGAUAAAAGGAAUUCGCUGUAAAGUAAAUAAAAUUCAAAGUAAAAGAGAUCAAACACAAAAUUUAGGUGAAAAGAAAUCAGGGGAUUAAGCUACUAGGGAAUUUGAUUUCAUUAAAUUCUAUCCAGCUUAUUCUAUUGGUUCAUUAAUCAAGUUUAAUUGUUCAAGUAGGACAAACAACCCUAAGGUUACCCUAAGGUUACUAACAAGCUCUCCCGAUUUAUUGUUAGCUAUUCUAAUCCAAUUUAAUCACCUAUCUUAAUAGUGAAAUUAAACAUGAAUCAGAUCAUUAGGUUUUAUGGUUGUUUUAUGAAUUCACAACUUAAUACUUUAUUAACUUAUGAAAGCCCCCCUUGAGUCAAACCAUAUAGUUUCCACAUCAAGUUAUUAUUCUCAAGUAAAUUAUUACCUUGUUCAUAUCAAUAACCCUUCUCCCGAAUGUGAUUAUUGAAAUAAUUCAAUCCAGGGGAAUUUUUCUGCCUGGAAGCCUUAAGCACAAUAAUAAGUUAUAACAAGAACAAAGAAAAAUAAAUCUAAUAUUAUAAGCUGGAAUCGAAUUAAAUUACAUCAAAUCCCUAGUAUAAAAGUUUAGCUAGACAUAGUAAUUAAAUUAAGCUCAAUCAUACUUGAAUCAUUCAUUAUAUUUAAAGACAAUAAUAAAGAAAGAAACAAGAUGAAGAGUUUAGAAUAAAAACUGUAUCACAACUAUGUUGAUGGCUUCCUUGAAUCUUGGCACAAUUCUUUGAUGCUUGAAAUCUUGAGAGAAAGAAAGAAUUAUGUAAGGAAAUUGCAUAAAAACGAGAUCCCCUACUAUGAGAAGUUCCUCCCUUUAUAUAGAGAUCCUGAAGGCAAGUCUGACUCCUUUUAGGAAAAUAGAAUCCUUAUUUAGCACAAAAUCCUUUCUAGGAGAUCAUAACUGUUUAGGCUCUUGAUUUCUUCUUGAUUAGGACUCCUUUUUCUUCAAGAAUAGGUCCAGGUCUUGUUUAGUGUGUUUAGGAAACUCCCUGAAGUCGGCCCAUGUGAGAAAGGCUUGAUUUGCGUGUUAAAUUCACGCUGGUUCCGCCUGGGCAGCACGGGCGUGCUUCAUGGCACGGGCUGGGUGUGCUUUAGUCUGGAAGUCUGGCUAGUGAAGCACGGGGCGUGCUAGGUAGCACGGGCUAGUGAAGUACUGAGGCACGGGCGUGCUACAGAGCACAGGCAGGGCGUGCUCUUCUCUGGAAGUCUGUCUAGAGUUGCCAUGGGCGUGCUAUGCUUGACACGCCCUGGUCCCAUUGUAGCACGGCCGUGCCUUUUGACACACCCUGGCCGUGCUCUCUUCUGUCUCUCCUUUGGUUUACUUGGCUUCUAGCACGGGCGUGCCUUCCAGCACGGGCUGGGCGUGCUAGAAGCUGAGUGCCUUGCAUUCUAAAGUUCUUUUCUGUGCCAAAUUUCUGCAAUUUUCUCUUAGAUCAAGCGGAUUAAAGACCAAGGAAGCUUUUAAACACAAUUAUACUAAAAGUGAUUUAAAAUUAAAUUAAAGAAGUAAAAACUUACUAAAAUUCUAAUAAAAACUAUAUUAAAAACACUAUAAAAUUUACACUUAUCACUUGGUCCCCUUUUUUGCGUGAUCUCAUAGGAACCUUCCCAAUUAGGGCUCAAUUUGCCAACUCCUACUGAUCUUGCUUUUAUCUCCCGAUUCUACAAUACGUUGUCGCCGAUAUCAAAAGUCCUUUUUCUGACCCUCCUAUUGUGAUACUUUACCAUUUGUUGUUGUCGAGCAGCCGCUUUGAUGGAUGCUUAAUUCCUCUUUUCUUCGGCUAAGUCCAGAUCGAUUCUCAAGGACUCGGUAUUGUGGUCAUCACUGUAGGACUGUAUUCUUCUACUCGGCAUUCUGAUUUCAAUUGGGAUUACCGCCUCUACGCCAUACAUUAUUGAGAAGGGUGUCUCAUCUCUAGAGAUUCUAAGUGUAGUCCUAUAGGACCAAAGUACACUAUUUAGGUACUCUGCCCAGCUGGAUCCUGCCUCCUCUAACCUUUUCUUAAUACCAUGCAAGAUAGUUUUGUUUGUUACUUAUGUUAGCCCAUUUGUUUGAGGGUGGACUACUGACGUGAAGUGUAGAUUUAUACAUCAGUCUGAGCAAAAAUUUCUAAAGGCUGAGUAGUCAAACUGCUUGCUGUUUUUAGUGAUUAAUUUGCUUGGGACUCCAUACCGACAUAGGACUUCUUUUCUGAACAACUUUAUGAUGCGCGUUGGCAUUGUUGUUGCUAAAAUCUCUGCCUCUAUCUAUUUGGAAAAAUGGUCUACUGCUACUAUGAUAAACUUCCUAUGCCUCGUCGCUAUUGGGAAGGGUUCGAGGAUGUCUAUGCCCCGCUGGGUGAAGGACCAAGAACUUCUAAUAGGUUGCAUUUCAGCUGUCGGCUUUCUCGGUACUUUGUUGUGCUUUUAACAUCGAAUGCAUUCCUGGACAUAGGUAUGCACAUCCUUUUUCAUAGUAGGCCUGUAACACCUGAGUAAGGAUAUCUUUCUGAGAUUGGCGUAUGUCCCUUCGUGCGCUCCGCAAAGCCCUUCGUGCACCUCUGUGAUGACAUAAUUUGCUUCCUCAUCAUUUAGACACCUCGCCUAUGGGUGUGAUUGGGAUCUCUUGUACAGUGUCUCUCCUUCAAGGGAGUAAUUUAAUGCUUUCCUGGAAAUCUUUAUUGCUUCUUUCAGCUCAGGAGGCAGUUCACUUGUUUCUAGGUGUUUUAUUAUGGGUGUCAUCUAGAUAGGUUCUACAUUGAUGGGAAAUGCUUCGCCCCAUUUGAUGCCUGGGCUUAUCUUUUUUUCUAUCAGGACCCUUGUAGGUACUUCUUCAUUUUUGGCUAUGGCUUUGGCUACUACUGAUUCAAGGAUUUGCUUGAUUUCCCAAGUGGUUCCUUCUUUUUCUAGUUGGCUUAGCAAUUGUUUGGCUAAGGUUUGGUAUUUGCUCAUAGAGGGCUCUUUGGCUGCAAACUUUCCUAUGAUCUGGUUUACCACUAACUGAGAGUCAAAGAAUAUUAAGAUCUUCGCCAGUCGAACUUCCAUGGCUAAUUUAAACCAGUUAUCAAGGCUUCAUAUUUCGCCAUAUUGUUUGUGCAAGGGAAAGCCAACCGCACUGCAAAUUUGAGUCGUAUUCUGCUUGGUCCUUCUAGGAUGAUCCCUGCUCCUACACCUGCUAAGCCACAGGCUCCAUCUAUAUGCAUUUUCCACAUGUGCAAGUGAGUGUUUAAUAUGUUCUGUGUCUCUAGCAUGGUCAUUUCUGCUAUAAAAUCUGCUAGGUUUUAUAUUUUCAGGGCCAGGAGAGUGCAUACUGGAUGUCGAAUUCCCCCAAUCGGAUGGGCCACUCAACCAUUCUUCCUGAUGUCUCCGCUAGGUGUAACACCUUUUUUUAGGGGGAAAUUGGUUUUGACGAUUAUGGAGUGAGCUUGGAAGUAGUACCUUAGUCGUGCCUCGUCUAAUCGAGCGAAAUUGUUAGCUUGGGCCAUCUGUUUUGCAAAAGAAUAAGGCUUGUCAAUGUUCAGCAAGUCGAAAAGCUAACUAUACUUACAAUUUUUAGCCAUUGCACUGAUGGCAACUUCGGUGUUGAGAUCUUCGAUCUGCAUGGUGAGCUUCUGGAAUUUGGUGAUACAUUCGUGGAGUGACUCGCCGUUUGUCCUUUUCAGGUCAAUCAAGUCUGAAGAAAUCUUUUUGCUUGGUAUGCAAAUGAUGAAGCAGGCUUUGAAUGCAGCUGCUAAUUGAGCAAAAUUUUUAAUGGAGUUAGUCUUCAACAUGUAAAACCAUUACUUGGCUGGUCCUUUCAAGGUUAUAGGGAAAGCUCAGCAUAACAAGGCAUCUACUGUGGUUUGGAUGUGCAUCACCACGCGGAAAUUUGCCAAAUGACUUCUAGGAUCAGUGGUCCCAUCAUAAGUUUCAAAGUUUGGCACUUUGAAUUUAUAGGGGAAGUGCACAUACAUGAUCUCCGGUGCUAGAGGCGAGUCAUUUCGCAGCUUGAAGUUAGAGUUAUCUCCGGUCUCUUGGAAGUCUCUUAGGAUUUGCAACGUCUUUGCUCGGAAUUCUUUUUGUCAUUGUGACCUACAUUCUCGAGCAAUGGAGUAGACAACACGUGCAUCUAGGUUUUAUUUUGCUUCUUUGUGUGCCAAGAAGAUUUCUCCUCUUUCGCGUCUGCUCAAGUUGCUCGGUUGGUAGUGUCUUCUUCUUCUGCUGCCAGAUUGACGCGACGCCUAUUGUCGGGAGGGAUUUGCGUGAUUGGUUUUGUCAUUAACCGUUGCAGCACGACUGCGAAGUCGUUAUAUGCCUGAGUGAGUAAUGCUGCUGCUUGUGGGUCCAGGGCUGAAAUGUCCGGGGGUAUGGGCAUUAGUUUUUCAGCUGGGUUGCUUGUUGCACCAACAUGCCCUGUCUUAGGUGUGGGAGUUGAUUCUAUAAUUGCGUCGAGAGUUUUCUAAAAUAUUGGGUAAAGCAAGCUAGGCGACCAAGUAUACAUAAGGUGUUACAGUUCUUUUUUAGUCCACGCUCACUGCACCAGUUUGAUAGAUGAUAUAUUGGUUCGUCAAUAAUCCUUGUCCCUAGAUACUGGUUACCAUAGGUUUAAAUAGUAAUUAACCCUCUCUUAGAGUCAACUUCGCCACUUUAUACCGUGCGAGUAGUGGGCGAGAGAUAUCUGGCCAUAUCUCCUAGUAUCUCGCCUUUAUCCUACUUCAGUUAUUUCUUUCUUAGGAUCUUGCUGUCUAUAAAGACCUAAGUCUAUUUUCUAACCUAAGCCCAUUUUAAUAUUAGAUUGGUGUUUGGAGCCGUUUGAAUAAAUACUUUAAGCAUUCGGCUAAGAUUAUCAUUUUUAUGAACAUGUUAUUGAAUAAAAAUUAAUUAAUUUAAUGUUGAUAUGAUAUUUGAAGUUUAUUCUGAUACUUUUGGCCGCGAUUUUGCCCUCUAGUAAUUUUAUGUUGUUUUUUUCGGUUGAUGUGUGUUAGUAAUAUUUUUGUCCCUAAAAUACUUUCUUUCAAUUUAGACUUAGCUUUAUCUAUUUGGCUCAAAAAUAAAAUUAUAAAAAAAAAAUUAAACAAUCUAAAAUAUCAUUAAUAUAAGGAUCAUUUAAUUACUUUUCAAAAUAGAUCAAUAAAAACUUUCAAGACUUCAAAAAAAAAAAAAAAAAAAAAAAGAAAAAAAAGAAAGAGAAAAAUUUCCUCAAAUAUCUAUGUAUCUAUAUAAAUAUAUAAUUUUUAAAAUCUAAAUGUUUAUGUGGCAACAUGUUAGAAUAUGAAAAUGAUAAUAUGACAUUUUAUUUUUUUAUUAUAAUUAAUAUCUUUUAUAUUUAAAUAAAAAAUUAAAUGUUCUUUAUGAAAUAAUGGAGUUACAAUUAAAUUAAUAAGAUUUUAUUAUAGUUAAUAUAUAAUAAAUAUAAAGUUUUUAUUAAAUAGUUUUAUUGUAUAAAAAAAACUAAUGGAGUUAUAAUAGAGUCAUAGUUAAUAAAAAUUAAUUAAAUAAUACAAUGAGAUUAUUAACUUCAAUUCCCUAAAAUUUAUUUCAUUAAGAUUAAAUAUUCUUAUACUUCAUUUAAUUUAAAUAUAUUAGAAUUUCAAAGAAAAAAUAAAAAAAAAACUAAAUAUAUCAAUUGAAUAAGAAUAAUUUACUUACAAUAAUUAAUUAUGCUAGUUAAUAUUUUAGUUCAAUAUUUGAGAAUUUAAAAAAGAAUCUAUAUUUUUAUUUUUCAUAAUUUAAUCCAAAGUAAAUAAGUAAAUUAUUUAAAUUAAAACAAUACAAAUAUAAAUUACAAUAAUUUUUUAAAAAAUUAUAUUCAAUUUAAUUAAAAAAAUAGAAAGUUACAGAAUUCGGGAAUCGCAUUGGUUCAGGACUAAUUUGUUACAAUUACCGAUAGGACUGAAUGCAAAUCAACUUGAGUUAAAUUUAUUGAUUUAAAGAAUUCAUAACGGUUUGACUAAUUAAUGAUUUUUUUUACCAACUCUAUCCCUUAAAUGCUUCACGUGCACCAAUUAGCUUCCAGCUAAUAUUUGCUAUCCCCGAGUGUGAAUUGUUGUAUAUAUAGACAUCAAGCACUGGAUCUUUCUUUUUUCUCCGUUUUUUUGUUUCAACAGCAACUAUAAUCAAAGAAAGAUACAGAAGAGCGAAAGCAACAAUCCCAUUGCCACACUCCCUACAAGAUAUGCUUGCCUCCUAUGAGAUUUCUGAUGCUGAGAAUUUGCACUUGAACCUGAUCCUGCUCCACAUGGCGGAAGUGGUAUCCCACAAAGGCCUGAAUUGUUGGCAAAACUAGAAGCUUGGAAUGUUUCAAACUGACCAGAUUCUGGAAUCGUUCCGGUGAGAUCAUUGUUGGACAUAUCAAUAUCCGUUAGCAAUGAGAGCUUAGUCAUAGACUGUGGAAUCUGCCCUUCCAGCUUAUUGUUAGAGAGGUUCAGAAUGUUAAGACCGUCUAAACUCCCUAGCUCGUCUGGAAUGUUACCAGAGAAAUUAUUGUGACCCAAAUUCAAGACAUAAAGAUAGGACAUAGUCCCAAUCUCCUUUGGAAUGCUGCCA
rnacentral:lncRNA from 1 species